rfam:Schistosoma mansoni strain Puerto Rico chromosome 1, complete genome
GCACUGGUGAAGAGUUCCGUAAUAGGACGAAACGGCCGUCCAGUGC